AGUGAACGCUGGCGGUAGGCCUAACACAUGCAAGUCGAACGGCAGCACAGUAAGAGCUUGCUCUUACGGGUGGCGAGUGGCGGGCGGGUGAGGAAUACAUCGGAAUCUACUUUUUCGUGGGGAUAACGCAGGGAAACUUACGCUAAUACCGCAUACGACCUACGGGUGAAAGCAGGGGAUCUUCGGACCUUGCGCGAUUGAAUGAGCCGAUGUCGGAUUAGCUAGUUGGCGGGGUAAAGGCCCACCAAGGCGACGAUCCGUAGCUGGUCUGAGAGGAUGAUCAGCCACACUGGAACUGAGACACGGUCCAGACUCCUACGGGAGGCAGCAGUGGGGAAUAUUGGACAAUGGGCGCAAGCCUGAUCCAGCCAUACCGCGUGGGUGAAGAAGGCCUUCGGGUUGUAAAGCCCUUUUGUUGGGAAAGAAAAGCAGCAGGUUAAUACCCCGCUGUUCUGACGGUACCCAAAGAAUAAGCACCGGCUAACUUCGUG
rnacentral:rRNA from 1 species